rnacentral:rRNA from 1 species
UACGUAGGGGGCAAGCGUUGUCCGGAUUUAUUGGGCGUAAAGAGCGUGUAGGCGGCCAUUCAGGUCAGCUGUGAAAACUCGAGGCUCAACCUCGAGACGUCGGUUGAAACCGUUUGGCUAGAGUCCGGAAGAGGAGAGUGGAAUUCCCGGUGUAGCGGUGAAAUGCGCAGAUAUCGGGAAGAACACCCGUGGCGAAGGCGGCCCUCUGGGACGGUACUGACGCUGAGACGCGAAAGCGUGGGGAGCGAAACAGG